AAAAUGCAGAAAUUAGCCAGGCCUGGUGGUGUGGGCCUGUGGUCUCAGCUAUUCAGGAGGCCAAGGUGGGAUAAUUGCUUGAGCCCAGGAGGCAGAGGUUGUAGUGAGCCAAGAUCACGCCACUACAUUCCAGCCUGGGGGACAGAGCGAGGCCCUGUCUCAAAAAAAGAGAUUGUCUGUUUUUCAGGUCUUCUUUGUGAUCCGCCUCAUUGCUGGCCCUGCCGCCAACUCCCUGCCUCCCAUUGUUGAUCCUGACCCUCUCAUUCCCUGCGAUCUGAUGGAUGGUCGGGAUGCCUUUCUCACGCUGGCAAGGGACAAGCACCUGGAGUUCUCUUCACUCCGAAGAGCCCAGUGGUCCACCAUAUGCAUGCUGGUGGAGCUGCACACACAGAGCCAGGACCGCUUUGUCUACACCUGCAAUGAAUGCAAGCACCAUGUGGAGACACGUUGGCACUGUACUGUCUGUGAGGAUUAUGACUUGUGUAUCACCUGCUAUAACACUAAAAACCAUGACCACAAAAUGGAGAAACUAGGUCUUGGCUUAGAUGAUGAGAGCAACAACCAGCAGGCUGCAGCCACCCAGAGCCCAGGCGAUUCUCGCCGCCUGAGUAU
rnacentral:sRNA from 1 species